AGAGUUUGUUUCUGGCUCAGGAUGAACGCUGGCGGCGUGCUUAACACAUGCAAGUCGAACGGACCCAUUCGAACGGAGAUUCGUCAAAGUUUGAUGAAGGUUAGUGGCGGACGGGUGAGUAACGCGUGGGUAACCUACCUUAUACAGAGGGAUAACGAUUGGAAACGGUCGCUAAUACCUCAUAAGCCCACAGUACCGCAUGGUACAGGGGGAAAACGAUUUCUCGCUAUUAGAUGGACCCGCGUUUGAUUGGCCAGUUGGCGGUGUAACGGACCACGAAAGCAACGGUCAAUAGUCGGACUUGAGAGGUCGAACGGCCACAUUGGGAUUAAGACAGCCCCCAAAUUCCUACGGGAGGCAGCAGGGGGGAAAUAUUGCACAAUGGGGGGAAACCCUAAUGCAGCGACGCCGCGUGAGUGAAGAAGUUUUUUCGGAAUGUAAAGCUCUAUCAGCAGGGAAGCAAAUGACGGUACCUGACUAAGAAGCCCCGGCUAACUACGUGCCAGCAGCCGCGGUAAUACGUAGGGGGCAAGCGUUAUCCGGAUUUACUGGGUGUAAAGGGAGCGUAGACGGACAGACAAGUCUGAAGUGAAAUUAAGAGGCUCAACCUCGUAACUGCUUUGGAAACUGUAGGUCUAGAGUACCGGAGGGGCAAGCGGAAUUCCUAGUGUAGCGGUGAAAUGCGUAGAUAUUAGGAAGAACACCGGUGGCGAAGGCGGCUUGCUGGACGGUAACUGACGUUGAGGCUCGAAAGCGUGGGGAGCACCCAAAAAUUAGAUACCCUGGUAGUCCACGCCGUAAA
rnacentral:rRNA from 1 species